AAAAAGACCGAUGUCUGCUAGCCAUUCAAGCUCUCCAAGCUCAGAGUGCUCUUUCUGCAACCAGAGAAUCGGACAUGGUAUGAUUGUUAGGUACGGAUGUAUAUCUAACUUGAGUACAUCUUUGAAUCACUCAUUUAUGUUUCUCACCUUGUUUAGAGAUUGAAUAUCUGAAAGUUCUAACAGAUCAUCAACAGCCCAUGGAGAUGAAAAGCUCGAGUGUUGUUGAUGUGCAGGCAUUUUCAUUGAAGUCUGAGGUGCACUCUUGUUGGGUGGCUCCAACACAUUGUUUUCAGUGUUUUUAUUGCAACUCGAACUUAAGGCAACUCGGAUUCCGGUGGCGAGGAACCUUUGAUGGUUUGCAGCAAGGCUGCCGGCUGGAUGGAUCGGUUCGUCGCAAUCCCGGCAGAAAAGAGCUCUGUCUUCAACACAAAAGAUGAAAGCUGCUUUUUCCUGUACAUCAUAUACAUGUAUAAGAGCAUAUGUUAAAAUCUUAAUGAGAAAAUGUUUAAGCUUCGGACCAAAUUUGGCCAAAUGAACUCAAGCAAGACACUUGUUAAUUAAUUGCCUUACAUUCCUAUGUUAAUUUCACUCAAGUGGUAUGAAUAUGUAUUUGAUACGAAUAUAUUUAGUUUUUUCUAAGUAUUUUUCAUAUACUUUUAAGGAUCAUGCCUAAUAUAGUGUUGAAUACAGAUAUAUCUGGUACUAAUAUAAUCAUUUUUUUAAAAAAACUUCUUCAAAACCAGUGAUUAUAAGAUUACAUGAUAUAAGCCAAUUGAUGAUAAAAUAUUGUCAAUAUGUAAACAAAGCAGAUCAAUUGCAGAACAUGUAAAUAGACAACUGACUUAGAUCAAUAAGAUUAUAGUACACAAACCAUGAAAAAACAACAUUAAAGAAAAAAGCCAAUAAGAUCUAUACAAUUGUAAGGAAACUUAAUAAACUAAACCAGAAAAGUGAAGGUAUAAAAGGGGAGGUACCUGACAUAUAUCACAAGGAGGAAGCUUGUUAGAAAGGCAUUGAAGGAGAAGCCUUUGGUGUUUGCUAGCAAGCUUGUUAGCUGCAUGAACUUCGAUAUCACAUUUAGCACAAAGUGCAGCCUCAUCUGCACAACAUAUCACUGUUGCUG
rnacentral:lncRNA from 1 species